rnacentral:rRNA from 1 species
CCUACGGGAGGCUGCAGUAGGGAAUCUUUCACAAUGGGCGAAAGCCUGAUGGAGCAACGCCGCGUGCAGGAUGAAGGCCUUCGGGUUGUAAACUGCUUUUAUAAGCGAGAAAUAUGAUGGUAACUUAUGAAUAAGGAUCGGCUAACUACGUGCCAGCAGCCGCGGUCAUACGUAGGAUCCGAGCAUUAUCCGGAGUGACUGGGUGUAAAGAGUUGCGUAGGUGGCAUAAUAAGUAGAUAGUGGAAUCUGGUGGCUCAACCAUUCAGAUUAUUAGCUAAAAUGGUAGGCUCGAGACCGUUAGGGGUAACUGGAAUUUCUGGUGUAGGAGUGAAAUGCGUAGAUAUUAGAAGGAACACCGAUAGCGUAGGCAGGUUACUAGGACGGUUCUGACACUGAGGCACGAAAGCGUAGGGAGCAAACGGGAUUAGAUACCCUUGUAGUC